rnacentral:tRNA from 1 species
GGUGGCUCAGUGGUAGAGCACUUGCCUCGCAUGCAUGAGGUCCGGGGUUUGAUUCCUCAGCACCA